AACGAACGCUGGCGGCAGGCUUAACACAUGCAAGUCGAACGGCAGCACAGCAGAGCUUGCUCUGUGGGUGGCGAGUGGCGGACGGGUGAGGAAUACAUGGGAAUCUGCCCAGUCGUGGGGGAUAACGUAUGGAAACGUACGCUAAUACCGCAUGCGCCCUACGGGGGAAAGUCGGGGACUGCAAGGCCUGGCGCGAUUGGAUGAGCCCAUGUUCGAUUAGCUAGUUGGCGGGGUAAAGGCCCACCAAGGCGACGAUCGAUAGCUGGUCUGAGAGGAUGAUCAGCCACACUGGAACUGAGACACGGUCCAGACUCCUACGGGAGGCAGCAGUAGGGAAUAUUGGACAAUGGGGGCAACCCUGAUCCAGCCAUGCCGCGUGAGUGAAGAAGGCCCUCGGGUUGUAAAGCUCUUUUGUCCGGAAAGAAAAGCAAUCGGUUAAUACCCGGUUGUUCUGACGGUACCGGAAGAAUAAGCACCGGCUAACUUCGUGCCAGC
rnacentral:rRNA from 1 species